AGCAGCAGCCGCGGGAAUACGUAGGUGGCAAGCGUUGUCCGGAAUUAUUGGGCGUAAAGGGCUCGCAGGCGGUUUCUUAAGUCUGAUGUGAAAGCCCCCGGCUCAACCGGGGAGGGUCAUUGGAAACUGGGAAACCUGAGUGCAGAAGAGGAGAGUGGAAUUCCACGUGUAGCGGUGAAAUGCGUAGAGAUGUGGAGGAACACCAGUGGCGAAGGCGACUCUCUGGUCUGUAACUGACGCUGAGGAGCGAAAGCGUGGGGAGCGAACAGGAUUAGAUACCCGAGUAGUCCCUGUCUCUUAUAC
rnacentral:rRNA from 1 species